GCUUUCGAGGUGUAACGGUAGCACACUCAACUCGUAUUCGAGAAGUCCAAAGUUCGAGUUCCAGCGAGAGCA
rnacentral:tRNA from 1 species